CUUUCUGACUAGGAAGUGCCAUUGUCCUGCCUCAGCAGCCUCAUCAUGAAUGAGGACUGUCUUCGCGGGCUCUUUAUUUCUGCAGGAAGACAUCAAAGUUCCACAGGAAGUUUCCUACCUGCUGGCUGUGGAAGGGAACACCGGGCCUGAGAGAGCCACAGAGGCUGCUGUGACCCCCUGACCCUUAAACUUCUGCCACGUACAUGUAUUCCUCAUCUUGCAGGAACAUUAAAGGUUAAAGGAUAAGCUGAGAGAGAAGACGGACGAUGUGAGGUUGAUGAGAACUUGUGUGGCCAAAUGCAGCAGAGAGGGAGGAACUAAAGGGAGUACUAAAAGGUGUGAGUGAUUAUACUAUAGCCUACACACACAUUACAUAUUAUUGCAGCCCUGGAAUUUCAGGAAUUAAUUUUUUUGUUUCAACUUUGAUAUUUUUCCCAAGUAAAUGACCCCAUGCAUAGAUAUAAAAACGUCUGUGCUAUUUUUCAGAGCCAGAGCUAUGGAUUAUACUAACCUUAAUAUUUCCACUAUGAACGGACUUACUCGUUGAGAGACUCGCAGAAUGUAAAUAUCUUGGCAUCUGGACUGACGAAAAACUCUCCGUCAAAUUUCACAUUGACAAUCUUAUGUGCCGACUCGGACAAAAAAGUUGGCUAUUUCUACAGAAAUACCGUAAAAGCAUCUUUCCCAUGUUCUGUAGGAAAAGGGCUGUUGAAGCCGUUGUCACGUCCGUCUUGGAAUACAGUGAAGUGAUUGAUAGACAUGCAUCAUCUUCCACUCGAAAAUCUCUGGACUCAGCCUAUGACACGAUAUGAGGAAAUUAUGCGAUAAAGUUGUUGAACAUCGCGAUGACGAUAUCACUUGCGAUAAAUAAACAUUACAAUGUACACAGUUCUGCAUUUUCUGCUGCUUUUAGUACCCUUCUAAUACAACAGACUGCUUGAAUUCAAAACAAAGGAAAUGAAAUCAUUUCUUACAUUCUUUUAUUGAACAAAUUGAACAUUGAAUUGAAUAGAAACGGCAGCACUAAAAAAAGAAUGACAGGGACAUUCUGAAGUGCAGAUUUCUGCUGAUAUUUUCUUUCAACUAACACAAAAAAUCUCUGAGUGUCUAUCGCGAUGUGUAUAUUGCGCCAGUUGAUAUUGCGAUGACGAUUAAAAAAAAACAAAAAAACUACAUAUUGUGCAUCCGAUCACUCUGCCUUGUGAUUGAUAAGCGGCCAUGCCUAUAGAACACAUCAUUGGAUUUCAUAUGGUUGUGUUGGGUGGUCUUCUCUCCAAGAGAGACGUGAUACUCACUGGUAUCUCUUUAUAGGGCUGCACCAUAUGACCUCAAGUCUAAAUCACGAUUAAUUGCACCUUUUACCUCGAUAACGAUAAAUGUUAUUCUAAAUCAUCUUUUCUGAAGCCAAAAUGUUUCCAGACGACGGAUACUACGUUUUUUUGGGGGCACAAGUUGCUCAGUGACUCGGACUCUGUGUUUGAGUUAGCUUCCGUUAUGCUUUCCAUGCAGCUGACUGGUCCGGGCCAGUUUGUUUUGUUUUUUUUAAGAUUAUUUUUGGGCUUUUCCACCUU